UUGAUCCUCCUCUUCCUAAGAAUCUUCACAAGCUCUAUGGACUUACCCUGAAGGGUCCCUAUAUUCCAAGACCCAACCCUCAGCCUACCGUCACUAUCCACACGCCCUCCACUACCCCCCCCGGGGCCAAACCUUGGCCUCCCUCCCACUCCCGCCCUCUCCUCAUCCCCCGUCCCCACCACGGCCCCAUGCCCCAACCCCCUCGAACCUGACCUUAUCCACCCAUUACCGCACACAGCCACAACUACACGAAAGUAUAAGAAAAUAUAAAGAUAUAAACGAUGGUAGUAGCAAAGCAGCAGCAAGAAAUACAAGGCUCACACAAAUUCAAAGAAAUACUCCAGGAACAAAACUAUACUCAAUUAGGGGGCAAACACCACUGGACUCAACACCCACAGCCCCAAAUACAGAUUCCCAAGCCGAUACCCCAAUCCAAGAAGUCAAGAAACGACCACAGCAACAGCAACAACAGACAACAGGCAAUAUCCACAAAUCCCACGCA
rnacentral:lncRNA from 1 species